UCCAGGGUAGCCUAGUGGACAUGGCAUCUGCCCGGUAAGCGGAACAUUGUGGGUUCGAUUCCCAUCCUUGGAC